CGCCUAGCAGUCGAAGCAAAACGAGAAAGAUUAGAAGACAAAGGACAAAUGAGACCAGCCACCAGCUCGAUUCCUUUGCGAACCCACAGCAUUCAUUGUCAGAUUUCGUUUGUGCAAAGUUUAGAAGAGAUUGCCACUCGUCCAGAGACUGUAUAACGAAGGCAUAUAAUAACAUACUCGAACUGUCUGUGCCAAAUAUCGCUCGAAAGCAGAUCCUCGUCAGAUUUCGUUCAAUCAGCCAAUUGUGAAUGAGAUGCAAAGACCUGCCAAGCGACAUCGACGCGGUACCAUCCAGAGACCAUAACCAAUACGCCAUACCAUCGCCAAAGAUGUUG